CUGCUUGUAUGGACGGGGUCGAUGGGUGAUCAAGAAGAGGCCCCUGGCCUAGGCUAGUGAGGUGCGCUAAUCUAUGAGGUCAGCCCAAAGCGGCUGAGCCUAAGUCAUAAUUCGUGGCAGUGGGGGCCCUGCCAUCGCGCGGCCCUCGG
rnacentral:snRNA from 15 species